AUUGAACGCUGGCGGCAUGCUUUACACAUGCAAGUCGAACGGUAACAGGUUAAGCUGACGAGUGGCGAACGGGUGAGUAAUGCAUCGGAACGUGCCCGGUCGUGGGGGAUAACGCAGCGAAAGCUGCGCUAAUACCGCAUACGAUCUGAGGAUGAAAGCGGGGGACCGUAAGGCCUCGCGCGAUCGGAGCGGCCGAUGUCAGAUUAGGUAGUUGGUGGGGUAAAGGCUCACCAAGGCAACGAUCGAGUAGGCUGGUCUGAGAGGACGAUCAGCCACACUGGGACUGAGACACGGCCCAGACUCCUACGGGAGGCAGCAGUGGGGAAUUUUGGACAAUGGGGGGCAACCCUGAUCCAGCAAUGCCGCGUGAGUGAAGAAGGCCUC
rnacentral:rRNA from 1 species